rnacentral:tRNA from 1 species
AUUCAAUUAGUAUAUUUAUUACAUUGGUUUUAGGAACCAAAAAAUGAAGUAGUGCUUCAAUUGAAUG